CUGAUAAUUACCAUCUCAUACAUCAGUUUUCUCUCCCUGGUAAUAUAAUAGCGCAGCUAAUUUCCUGAGAGCUAUUACCCCCAGUACAGACCAACACACAGACAGUGUGAGGCUGACUGACAGCUCCAGUCCCAACCAGGCGAUGGGAGAAUUACUUGCUUGGCUGUGGUGCAUCCAACAGCGUGCCCUGAUCCCACAGAGCUGCCCUGGGCGGGAACCACACAAGAUAUUUUUUGGGGCCAGGAGGGACCAUUAGAUCAUCCGUUCUGGCCUCCUGCACAACACAUGCCGCAGAAUCUCAUCCAAAAAGCUUGUACUCUUAAGGGUCUGCAGCCUCGGUGUAUGAUAUCAAAACUGAAAUCAGGCCCAGCAGUGUUCUCCGCUAAACUGGGCCAAGAAGCAUAAUAAAGAUUUGGCCUUGCUAUAAAAAUGUGCCGUGCUGUACUGCUACUCUGCUUAUUCCAUGCUGGCUUCCGGGCUUCUAAUAAAGGAACAGGCAUUGGGCAAAGCACCCAGGGU
ensembl:lncRNA